UACGAAGGGGGCUAGCGUUGUUCGGAAUCACUGGGCGUAAAGGGCGCGUAGGCGGCUUUGUAAGUCGGGGGUGAAAGCCUGUGGCUCAACCACAGAAUUGCCUUCGAUACUGCACGGCUUGAGACCGGAAGAGGUAAGUGGAACUGCGAGUGUAGAGGUGAAAUUCGUAGAUAUUCGCAAGAACACCAGUGGCGAAGGCGGCUUACUGGUCCGGUUCUGACGCUGAGGCGCGAAAGCGUGGGGAGCAAACAGG
rnacentral:rRNA from 1 species